rnacentral:lncRNA from 1 species
GCCUUGCGACCCCGCUCCACCCUCCGUACCACGUGGGCCAGGCGCCCCGCAGCCUGAUCCCUCGGCUGAGGCGGGGUCAGAGGGCUAAGGGUGACUGACUGCCCAGUGCAUGGAUCUCAGCAGCACGGCUUGACUUUCGGGCGGCAGGCAAGGAUGCUAAUCCACAAGGUUCCUGAGUCCAACAUCCCUCCCUCCAAUGUGGGGCUCGAAUCCGCUAUUGCAACCAAACCCGGGUUCUGCCCGCAGGGUGGCGCAAUGACAAGAGCCACCAGGUGACCCUGGUAACUCCCGCACCUAGACCUGGAAAAGGCCAGUCCUGUGCAGUGUGGCCUUAGGGCAUCUACAGCUCUGGACAGAGGGAGAAGGUCCAAGUCCCUGCUUCCUGCUGAGGGGACGGCUAAGGAAGAGAAACUACCUUAAUGGAUCCUACGGCUGUUGAUCCCCUCGGAAGUGAGACAUAAUGUCCCGGAGCAGAUGCUGAUGGGGACUCACUGUUGGGCCACCUGAUUUCUGUGUUCAUCUUCCCAGGCUCCACCUUUCAGAUCCCAUCCCUGGUGUCUGCAGUUACAACUUUACUAACCAGAACUUUGUUUCCAGCUUACGCUGAAAAGCAAAGGGUGACUUAGAAUAAAAAUGUAACAAAUAGCCCCAUAGCCCAAACCUUUUCUGCCAUGAUUUACUGUACCAGAUACCUAUAAGUGUCCAGGGCAAAUUAAACACAUCAAUAAAUGGC